UCUCUUCGCUUGAGCAAGAUUUGACGUCUUAUGUACAACGAUGCUCUUGAUUUUAAAGCAAGUUUUGCUUUAAAUGUAUGUCCCCACGUAUGUCGCUCCCUCUCUCUCUCUCUCCACCUCCCGCCUCUCCUCCAUCCUGCAGCCGAUACACUGUUGCCUGUGAGCGGUAAUCCCUGCCGCUCACGACUUACCCAGAGCCCGUAUAAUUCUACUAAACCCCCAGCUGCCGCCCUGGCCACUCGCUGAACACGACAGACUGCGAACCGCUCUCCGUAUUAAUAAUUCAGCCUCUCCGAUUCUCCGACCGUUAUCAGCUGCACACGCUCCGGGCCAACGGCACUCCUUCCCGUUUAUUCAAGACUCAUCACUAAAAUCUAUAUUAACUACAGGUUUAAUAUACAUCCAUAUGCUAACAUGCUUACAGAUUAAUAUUAUUUGACCGUUUUUUUAAAGGCGUCAACUUGCGUGCCUGUCUAUAGCACACACUCUGAUUGAUGCUCAGGAUGGUUUUAGUCAUUAAAAGACAAAGUCGUGAGCGUUUUUUCCUUCGCCUUAUCUAAGCCUGGAGGAGGAGGUGGAGAGGAAUAGAAGGGGAUCCCACUUUCUUGAUACAGGAGGAGUGAAGGGGGAUAGAAGAAAGUGAGAGAGGGGGAGGGAGAGAGAGGGGGUGCUGUAGUCUUAAAUUCUAAAAAAGAGCAACAGCUGAAUUGAAGGCAUAUAUACAUACAGAACAACUUACUGUCAGUCUAUUUCACUGAACCCUUUCCCUGAUUUGACACUUUUUUUCUGCGGUUGCUGUUGACGGAUCGCGGACACCGUGCACGGAUUCGCCCGAAACCCGCUGAUCGGCGCCGGAUUCGGCUGACGGAGAGAGCAGACGGACAGUAAUAGCGGAUCUCCCGGAGUUCUCAAGCCGAGGCUACGCUGUAUUGGAAAAUCCUUCACGCUGGAAGUGAACAGGAAGAUCCCGAAUGAGGCAGAAAUCGGGAGGCUUGGAUAAUCCGUCCGCUUCCCUCGCACCGAUGAGAAGAGUUACUUUUAAAAGAAUGUUUGCCGGGCCACACGCCGUCUUGUUUUAGCGUUUCUUUUUCGCUUCCGGUAUCGCAGAAGAAGCCGAGCCGCACUCUCUCGCUCGCUCUCUCACUCAGACUUUUUUUUUGGAAGCUGAACUUUUUAAAGGAAAAUGGGUCUUUGAGACUGUUUGGCAAAAUUCCCUGCACCAUAAUGGCAGCCGAAACUUUUCUGGUGAACGAAGAUCCUUCCAGAGGUGCUGGGCUCCCAGAAUGCUUUGUAGUGUCUGAUUCGUACAGGAUUGCAGCGAUGUACAUUCCACAAUGAGGGCAAAAGCUAUGCACACCUUCAUGUCUGUUAAACAUCUUUGACAAUAUACGCACAGGAUACACACAGUGUUUUCCAUCUAGCGUUUCAUUAUAAGUGUAUUUUGAGCUUCCCGUAGUAAAAAAUAUAGAAGGUGAAAAGGGGGAGAUUUAAACAUUACAGAACGUGCAAAUUUAUCUACUUUUGCAACCAUAAACUUAAAAUUCCCUGAAGAAUUCUGCAGAAAGAGGCAUUUACCAGGAGCACAGUGAUACAGAGAAGUGUGUCCUAUAUGCAGCAUCUAAGUCUGAGAUGAAUGGAACAGAACUUUAAAAUCUAGUUUUCCAUUGUGGAUCAUAACUACGCACAGGGAUUAUAAUUCAACGUAAUUAGCGGGAGUCUCUGUACAACUGACCUGAUGUAGACGAAUGACCAAUAACACAUGUGAAUGAUCGUCUGCUGCUUGGAGGGGUUUUUUAACUUAUGGAUGGUGUGGGGAGUAAUCUCUGAGGAGGCACACCAGGCUCAGGUUCCGCCCCCCCCGCCCC